rnacentral:rRNA from 1 species
UACGAAGGGUGCUAGCGUUGUUCGGAAUCACUGGGCGUAAAGCGUGCGUAGGCGGCUUGACAAGCCAGAGGUGAAAGCCUGGAGCUCAACUCCAGAAUUGCCUUUGGAACUGUCUGGCUAGAGUGUCGGAGGGGAUAGCGGAAUUUCUAAUGUAGCGGUGAAAUGCGUAGAUAUUAGAAGGAACACCGGUGGCGAAGGCGGCUAUCUGGACGACAACUGACGCUGAGGCACGAAAGCGUGGGGAUCAAACAGG